UUGGUGUGCCAUAUAACGGAGGAACAAUGU
rnacentral:piRNA from 1 species